CCUACUGGCGGCAGCAGUGAGGGAUAUUGCGCAAUGGGCGAAAGCCUGACGCAGCGACGCCGCGUGGGCGAGGAAGGCCUUCGGGUUGUAAAGCCCUUUUGGCAGGGAAGAGCAAGGACUGUACCUGCAGAACAAGUCACGGCUAACUACGUGCCAGCAGCCGCGGUAAUACGUAGGGGGCAAGCGUUGUUCGGAUUUACUGGGCGUAAAGAGCGCGUAGGCGGUUUGAUAAGUCAUGGGUGAAAGCCCUCAGCUCAACUGAGGUUACGCCCAUGAAACUGUCUGACUUGAGUUUAGGAGAGGAGAGCGAAAUUCCCAGUGUAGCGGUAAAAUGCGUAGAUAUGGGGAGGAACACCGGUGGCGAAGGCGGCUCUCGGGACUAAUACUGACGCUGAGGCGCGAAAGCAAGGGGAGCAAACGGGAUUAGAUCCCCCUGUAGU
rnacentral:rRNA from 1 species